ACUUUAUACUGUGAACUGCGAAUGGCUCAUUAAAUCAGUUAUCGUUUAUUUGAUAGUACCUUACUACAUGGAUACCUGUGGUAAUUCUAGAGCUAAUACAUGCUAAAAACCCCGACUUCAGGAAGGGGUGUAUUUAUUAGAUAAAAAACCAACGCCCUUCGGGGCUCCUUGGUGAAUCAUAAUAACUUAACGAAUCGCAUGGCCUUGCGCCGGCGAUGGUUCAUUCAAAUUUCUGCCCUAUCAACUUUCGAUGGUAGGAUAGUGGCCUACCAUGGUGGCAACGGGUAACGGGGAAUUAGGGUUCGAUUCCGGAGAGGGAGCCUGA
rnacentral:rRNA from 1 species